AGGACGAACGCUGGCGGCGUGCUUAACACAUGCAAGUCAAGGGGGCUCCGCAAGGGGCAACCGGCGAACGGGUGCGUAACACGUGAGCAACCUGCCUUCGAGUGGGGGAUAGCCGGCCCAACGGCCGGGUAAUACCGCAUACGCUCGUCUUGUGGCAUCACACGACGAGGAAACGUUUACGGCUCGGAGAGGGGCUCGCGGCCUAUCAGCUAGUUGGUGCGGUCACGGCGCACCAAGGCGACGACGGGUAGCUGGUCUGAGAGGAUGGCCAGCCACAUUGGGACUGAGAAACGGCCCAGACUCCUACGGGAGGCAGCAGUGGGGAAUCUUGCGCAAUGGCCGAGAGGCUGACGCAGCGACGCCGCGUGGGGGAUGAAGCAUUUCGGUGUGUAAACCCCUGUUGCUCGGACGAACGACCGGUUUCGACCGGUGUGACGGUACCGAGUGAGGAAGCACCGGCUAACUCCGUGCCAGCAGCCGC
rnacentral:rRNA from 1 species